GAUGACAAAAAUAUUCGAUACGUGUUUGAUCCUCAUUUUGAUUCUACUUUUAGCUACAGUAACUUAUAAUUAUAAGGCCCGAAAUUGGAAGCUUUUGAAUAUAAGGCUUUGUUUGGAAUUGCGGAAAAAUUACGUUACGUACGGUGAGAAAGUAUGAUGAAAAAAGAGUCCGGCUACUAUACUCUUAUGAGUACAAUCGCCCUCGUGCUCAUAAGUUGUUUUCGAUGAUAAAGCUUCCGAAACGACGAUCCACACAGUUAAACGUUAUCUAGAGCAUUUAAAAUUACUAGAAAUUAAAUUUGAUAAUUUUUCGACAUUAUUUACCUUACGAUCAAAAGCUCAUAAAAUUGACAAUUUUUAACGGUCGGUAUGGGAUACUUGCUAGUUUAACAGUGGAAAAAAAUUGGAAUAGAUUAAAUUUUUGAUAGAAAAUUCUAUUAACUACCUAGAUAAAUAUCAGAAACUUCGAUCUUAAAUUAAAGGAUCCGAUCAUCCAUUUUUAGGACGUCGUUCGAUUUUGACCAUUCAUUUUAUACCCGCUUGAUGGACUUUAUUAUGAUUUCGAAAAAUUACGAAAUUUAUUUUCUAGAAGUUUCAAAUAAUCUAGAUCAUAUUUAACGGAGUGGAUCGCCGAUUCGGAAGCUCCAUCAUCGAAAACAACUUAUGAGUACUAAGAGCCCACUACUCACAAUAGUAUAGUAGCCCUACUCAUAAAAAAAUAUUAUGUUUGUUUCCAUACAUAAUAUUACGUUCAACAUAUCGCAAUAUGUCGGUUACAAUAUAUUUUCUGCUGUCCCAUCAGAGAACGCAGAAGUAUAUUUCUAUAUUUGGUCUUAAUACCAAACUAAGCAUUUAUCUAAUAGCGUCGGAUGAACUUCAAUAUCAAACUAAACUUUAUUAUAUGUACUCGGAAAAUUAUUUAUGGUUGAAAAUAAAUUUUUAUAUACAAAAAAAA
rnacentral:lncRNA from 1 species